UUGUUCUGCAAGUCCUCCGUUAAAUCCACCUGCUCAACAGAUGGGCUGCGGAGGAUACUACAGGGCUAGGAGGCGGGAGAGGCAAACGGUACUCAGUGGGUAGGGGUAAAAUCCACUGAUCCACUGAAGACCACCAGUGGCGAAGGCGGUUUGCCAGAACGCGCUCGACGGUGAGGGAUGAAAGCUGGGGGAGCAAACCGGAUUAGAUACCCGGGUAGUCCCAGCUGUAAACGAUGCAGACUCGGUGAUGGGUUGGCUUUGAGCUAACCCAGUGCCGCAGGGAAGCCGUUAAGUUUGCCGCCUGGGAA
rnacentral:rRNA from 1 species